AGUGAACGCUGGCGGUAGGCCUAACACAUGCAAGUCGAACGGCAGCACAGGAGAGCUUGCCCUCUGGGUGGCGAGUGGCGGACGGGUGAGGAAUACAUCGGAAUCUACUUUUUCGUGGGGGAUAACGUAGGGAAACUUACGCUAAUACCGCAUACGACCUACGGGUGAAAGCAGGGGAUCUUCGUACCUUGCGCGAUUGAAUGAGCCGAUGUCGGAUUAGCUAGUUGGCGGGGUAAAGGCCCACCAAGGCGACGAUCCGUAGCUGGUCUGAGAGGAUGAUCAGCCACACUGGAACUGAGACACGGUCCAGACUCCUACGGGAGGCAGCAGUGGGGAAUAUUGGACAAUGGGCGCAAGCCUGAUCCAGCCAUACCGCGUGGGUGAAGAAGGGCUUCGGGUUGUAAAGCCCUUUUGUUGGGAAAGAAAUCCAGCUGGUUAAUACCCGGUUGGGAUGACGGUACCCAAAGAAUAAGCACCGGCUAACUUCGUGCCAGCCGCCGCGGUAA
rnacentral:rRNA from 1 species